rnacentral:rRNA from 1 species
ACGGGGGAUGCGAGCGUUAUCCGGAUUUAUUGGGUUUAAAGGGCGCGUAGGCGGGACGCCAAGUCAGCGGUAAAAGACUGCAGCUAAACUGUAGCACGCCGUUGAAACUGGCGCCCUAGAGAGAAGUCGAGGGAGGCGGAACAAGUGAAGUAGCGGUGAAAUGCAUAGAUAUCACUUGGAACCCCGAUAGCGAAGGCAGCUUCCCAGCCUUUAUCUGACGCUGAUGCGCGAGAGCGUGGGUAGCGAACAG